rnacentral:rRNA from 1 species
AUACGGAGGGUGCAAGAGUAAUCCGGAUUUAUUGGGUUUAAAGGGUGCGUAGGCGGUUUGAUAAGUCAGCGGUGAAAUAUUUCAGCUUAACUGGAAGGGUGCCGUUGAUACUGUCGAGCUUGAAUUUAGUUGCUGUGGGUGGAAUGUGUGGUGUAGCGGUGAAAUGCAUAGAUAUCACACAGAAUAUCGAUUGCGAAGGCAGCUCACAAAGCUAAUAUUGACGCUGAUGCACGAAAGUGUGGGGAUCAAACAGGAUUAGAUACCCUGGUAGUCCACACUGUAAACGAUGAUAACUCGCUGUCGGCGAUACAUAGUCGGUGGCCAAGCGAAAGCGAUAAGUUAUCCACCUGGGGAGUACGACCGCAAGGUUGAAACUCAAAUGAAUUGACGGGG